CUGAGUGUUACAACUCCCAAACCCUUUGUGAACCUUACCAAUCGUUGCUUCGGCGGGACCGCCCCGGCGCCUUGACUGGCGCCGGACACAAGGCGCCCGCCGGGGGCCACAAACUCUUUGUUUUUACUCCAGUAUUCUCUCUGAGUGGCACAAGAAAUAAAUUA
rnacentral:misc_RNA from 1 species